CAGAUUGGGGUUCAGUCGGCACCUUCUACAUGACAUGGUGGAGUGUGCAUUACAUAAAGCCCCCAGGUUACAGACAGGACCCCUGGGGCCAGGAGAGGUGGGUGCCUUGUGAUCUGCGUCAUGGUGAGGAGGACUUCAGGGACAGAUGGCCAGGGAUGUUCCCAGGUGGUGGAGGAGGCUCCACUGGCAGAGAAGCAACGUCAAGCUGAAGACAUUGGGGUGCGAUGGCUGGCCAGGACAGCUUGUCUCCUCGUCCGCACACGGAACGCUGGAUUUCACUCUGUGACCCAGCCAGCGGUCUCAUCUCACAGCCGCAGCUUUCAGCAGGAAGGAGCCCACUGGUGCCUGCCUGACCUACGAGGGCCCGCACCGUUUUGCCCUCCUAACAUUUUGUAUUUGAAGUGCUUGUCACAGUCCACAAAAUAACCACUCAGAAUCUGUUACUAUUUUGUUUAUAUGUUGUAUCAAGUGAAUGUUAAUAAGUCAUCUAAGUGUAUGCUUUAGUUAUAAAUCUUGGAAAAAUAAAAACUUCCUUUUGGAGGAAAAGUGAACUUACUUUGGU
rnacentral:lncRNA from 1 species